CACCCUUCCUCACUCCUGGCAACAGCAGACAAAGCGCGGGCGGGUUUUAGUGGUCUCCGCCGGGGCCGCGCAGCCUUUGAUCUGAGCCCCGUUAAGGAGAAGGGAGUCUGGGGGGAGUCAGGCCAGGAGGAGGGCUGAGGAGGAAGAUAAUAUUAACCGACCAGGUAACACUCCCCGGGCAGCCUGGACUUUAACACGGACCUCUAAGAACUAAACUCCGCAAGAAGCACGAAGAAGCCUUGAAACAGUGAGGCCUGCGUGGUGGCUUAAAUUACGCAACUAGAAGCCUCCCCGCCCGUCACCUUUAUGAUAGACCUAUUGCAGGUG